GACGAACGCUGGCGGCGUGCUUAACACAUGCAAGUCGAGCGGAGCGGCGAACGGGUGGGUAACGCGUGAGUAACUGCCCCCCUCUCUGGGAUAACAGUUGGAAACGGCUGCUAAUACCGGAUAGUGGGGGAUGACUCGGGUCCUAUCAGCUUGUUGGUGGGGUAGGGGCGUACCAAGGGGACGACGGGUAGCCGGCCGGGGAGGGCGACCGGCCACAUUGGGCUGAGAUACGGCCCAAACGCGUACGGGGGGCAGUAGUGGGGAAUAUGGCACAAUGGGGGAAACCCUGAUGCAGCAACGCCGCGUGUGUGAUGACGGCCUUCGGGUUGUAAACCGCUUUCAGCCAUGACGCGGUAGUGGCAGAAGAAGCACCGGCUAACUACGUGCCAGCAGCCGCGGUAAUUC
rnacentral:rRNA from 1 species